rnacentral:rRNA from 1 species
ACGAACGCUGGCGGCGUGCCUAAUACAUGCAAGUCGAGCGGAAUGAUGAAGAAGCUUGCUUCUUCUGAUUUUAGCGGCGGACGGGUGAGUAACACGUGGGCAACCUACCUUGUAGAUUGGGAUAACUCCGGGAAACCGGGGCUAGUACCGAAUAAUCCAUUUUGCUUCAUGGCGAGAUGUUGAAAGACGGUUUCGGCUGUCACUAUAAGAUGGGCCCGCGGCGCAUUAGCUAGUUGGUAGGGUAAUGGCCUACCAAGGCGACGAUGCGUAGCCGACCUGAGAGGGUGAUCGGCCACACUGGGACUGAGACACGGCCCAGACUCCUACGGGAGGCAGCAGUAGGGAAUCUUCCACAAUGGACGAAAGUCUGAUGGAGCAACGCCGCGUGAGCGAAGAAGGUUUUCGGAUCGUAAAACUCUGUUGUAAGGGAAGAACACGUACGAGAGUAACUGCUCGUACCUUGACGGUACCUUAUUAGAAAGCCACGGCUAACUACGUG